AACGAACGCUGGCGGCAGGCUUAACACAUGCAAGUCGAACGCCCCGCAAGGGGAGUGGCGCACGGGUGAGUAACGCGUGGAUAUCUGCCUUUUGGUUCGGAAUAACCCCGGGAAACUGGGGCUAAUACCGGAUGGUUCCUACGGGAUAAAGAUUUAUCGCCAAAAGAUGAGUCCGCGUACGAUUAGCUAGUUGGUGAGGUAAUGGCUCACCAAGGCGACGAUCGUUAGCUGGUCUGAGAGGACGAUCAGCCACACUGGGACUGAGACACGGCCCAGACUCCUACGGGAGGCAGCAGUGGGGAAUAUUGGACAAUGGGGGCAACCCUGAUCCAGCCAUGCCGCGUGAGUGCUGAAGGCCUUCGGGUUGUAAAGCUCUUUUGGCGGGGACGAUGAUGACGGUACCCGCAGAAUAAGCCCCGGCUAACUUCGUG
rnacentral:rRNA from 1 species